rnacentral:rRNA from 1 species
UUUCUGGUUGAUCCUGCCAGACCUGACUGCUAUCGGAUUGAUACUAAGCCAUGCGAGUCAUUGUAGUAAUACAAGGCAUACGGCUCAGUAACGCGUAGUCAACCUAACCUAUGGACGGGAAUAACCUCGGGAAACUGAGUAUAAUGCCCGAUAGAACAUUAUGCCUGGAAUGGUUUAUGUUCCAAAUGAUUUAUCGCCGUAGGAUGGGACUGCGGCCUAUCAGUUUGUUGGUGAGGUAAUGGCCCACCAAGACUAUUACAGGUACGGGCUCUGAGAGGAGUAGCCCGGAGAUGGGUACUGAGACACGGACCCAGGCCCUAUGGGGCGCAGCAGGCGAGAAAACUUUGCAAUGUGCGAAAGCACGACAAGGUUAAUCCGAGUGGUUUCUGCUAAAGGAACCUUUUGUUAGUCCUAGAAACACUAACGAAUAAGGGGUGGGCAAGUUCUGGUGUCAGCCGCCGCGGUAAAACCAGCACCUCAAGUGGUCAGGAUGAUUAUUGGGCCUAAAGCAUCCGUAGCCGGCUCUGUAAGUUUUCGGUUAAAUCUGUACGCUCAACGUACAGGCUGCCGGGAAUACUGCAGAGCUAGGGAGUGGGAGAGGUAGACGGUACUCGGGAGGAAGGGGUAAAAUCCUUUGAUCUUUCGAUGACCACCUGUGGCGAAGGCGGUCUACCAGAACACGUCCGACGGUGAGGGAUGAAAGCUGGGGGAGCAAACCGGAUUAGAUACCCGGGUAGUCCCAGCUGUAAACUAUGCAAACUCAGUGAUGCAUUGACUUGUGGUCAAUGCAGUGCUGCAGGGAAGCCGUUAAGUUUGCCGCCUGGGAAGUACGUACGCAAGUAUGAAACUUAAAGGAAUUGGCGGGGGAGCACCACAAGGGGUGAAGCCUGCGGUUCAAUUGG